UUCUAAUUCUCAAAGUUAGUAGACUCUGCUCAGUGAGCAAUUAAAUAGCCGCAGUAUCUUGACUGUGCUAAGGUAGCAUAAUAACUAGGCUUCUAAUAAAGGUCUUGAAUGAACGAGUUGACGAUUUUUAGGCUGUCUUAGCUUUAGUUGGGAAAUUUAUUUUUAAGUUAAAAAGCUUAACUUUCUAGAAAGACGAUAAGACCCUAUAAAGCUUUACUAAUAUAGUUAAUAAAAGGAGAAGAUUUUGUAAAAUUAGUUAAGCUGGGGCGGCAAUAAAAAUUCUUUUAUAAAUAUAACAAAAUAUGUGAGUUGAGAGAUCUAAAAAGAUAUAGAAUAAGCUACUUUAGGGAUAACAGCGCAAUCUUUUUAGAGAGAUCUUAUUGAUAAAAAGGACUUGCGACCUCGAUGUUGAAUUGAGGGGCCUAAAUUAAGCAAAAAUAAUUUAAGGGAGUCUGUUCGACUUUUAAUUCCUC
rnacentral:rRNA from 1 species